CCUACGGGAGGCAGCAGUAGGGAAUAUUGCUCAAUGGGCGAAAGCCUGAAGCAGCCACGCCGCGUGGAGGAUGACGGUCUUCGGAUUGUAAAACCCUUUUGUUAGAGAAGAAAAUGACGGUAUGUAACGAAUUAUCACUGGACAAUAUCGUGCAAGCAGCCCAGGUACUACGGAGGGUGCAAGCGUUACUCGGAAUCACUGGGCGUAAAGCGCGCGUAGUCGGGAUAGCAAGUCAGUUGGGAAAGCCUAUGGCUUAACCGUAGAACUGCAUUUGAAACUGUGAGUCUAGAGUUUAGGAGAGGUAGGUGGAAUUCUUGGUGUAGCGGUGAAAUGCGUAGAGAUCAAGAGGAAUACUCAGUGCGAAGGCGGCCUGCUGGAACGUAACUGACGCUGAUGCUCGAAAGCGUGGGUAGCAAACAGGAUUAGAUACCCCGGUAGUC
rnacentral:rRNA from 1 species